GGGAAUAUGGCUUAGUAGUAGAGUGCUUGCCUAGUAUGCAUGAAGCCCUGGGUUCAAUUCCUCAGUACCA
rnacentral:tRNA from 1 species